rnacentral:tRNA from 1 species
GGCCCUAUAGCUCAGCGGUAGAGCGUUGGCUUCCAGCAUGCGUGGGAAUAUUCCAAAGGUCAUCCGUUCAAAUCGGGUUGGGGUCA